rnacentral:tRNA from 1 species
ACUCUUAUAGUUUAGUAUAAAAUGCAAUUUUGAAGUGAUUGAGAGAGAAAGGGGUA